rnacentral:rRNA from 1 species
CCUACGGGGGGCAGCAGUGGGGAAUAUUGCACAAUGGGCGCAAGCCUGAUGCAGCCAUGCCGCGUGUGUGAAGAAGGCCUUCGGGUUGUAAAGCACUUUCAGCGGGGAGGAAGGCGGUGAGGUUAAUAACCUCAUCGAUUGACGUUACCCGCAGAAGAAGCACCGGCUAACUCCGUGCCAGCAGCCGCGGUAAUACGGAGGGUGCAAGCGUUAAUCGGAAUUACUGGGCGUAAAGCGCACGCAGGCGGUCUGUCAAGUCGGAUGUGAAAUCCCCGGGCUCAACCUGGGAACUGCAUUCGAAACUGGCAGGCUAGAGUCUUGUAGAGGGGGGUAGAAUUCCAGGUGUAGCGGUGAAAUGCGUAGAGAUCUGGAGGAAUACCGGUGGCGAAGGCGGCCCCCUGGACAAAGACUGACGCUCAGGUGCGAAAGCGUGGGAAGCAAACAGGAUUAGAUACCCGUGUAGUC